AUGAUGAAGGUCUUAGGAUUGUAAAAUUCUUUCACCGGGGACGAUAAUGACGGUACCCGGAGAAGAAGCCCCGGCUAACUUCGUGCCAGCAGCCGCGGUAAUACGAAGGGGGCUAGCGUUGCUCGGAAUUACUGGGCGUAAAGGGAGCGUAGGCGGACUGUUUAGUCAGAGGUGAAAGCCCAGGGCUCAACCUUGGAAUUGCCUUUGAUACUGGCAGUCUUGAGUACGGAAGAGGUAUGUGGAACUCCGAGUGUAGAGGUGAAAUUCGUAUAUAUUCGGAAGAACACCAGUGGCGAAGGCGACAUACUGGUCCGUUACUGACGCUGAGGCUCGAAAGCGUGGGGAGCAAACAGGAUUAGAUACCCUGGUAGUCCACGCCGUAAACGAUGAGUGCUAGUUGUCGGCAUGCAUGCAUGUCGGUGACGCAGCUAACGCAUUAAGCACUCCGCCUGG
rnacentral:rRNA from 1 species